rnacentral:tRNA from 1 species
GUGGACGUAGCUCAACGGUAGAGUCCCGGAUUGUGAUUCCGGUUGUUGGGGGUUCGAAUCCCCUCGUCCACCCCA